rnacentral:rRNA from 1 species
GUAGGGAAUAUUGCGCAAUGGACGAAAGUCUGACGCAGCGACGCCGCGUGAGUGAUGAAGGCCUUAGGGUCGUAAAGCUCUGUUGAAUGGGAAGAAAAAAAUGACGGUACCAUUCGAGGGAGGACCGGCUAACUUCGUGCCAGCAGCCGCGGUAAUACGAGGGGUCCUAGCGUUGUUCGGAAUCAUUGGGCGUAAAGGGUGUGUAGGUGGCCAUGUAUGUCAGGUGUGAAAGCCCCGGGCUCAACCCGGGAAGUGCACUUGAUACUGCGUGGCUUGAGUACCGAAGAGGGUAGUGGAAUUCCAGGUGUAGUGGUGAAAUACGUAGAUAUCUGGAGGAACACCGGUGGCGAAGGCGGCUACCUGGUCGAGUACUGACACUGAGACACGAAAGCAUGGGGAUCAAACAGGAUUAGAUACCCUAGUAGUCC